rnacentral:lncRNA from 1 species
UCUCGCGCCGCCCCCGUUUUACAUCGGUUAUCUUUUUGUCAAAUAAUUGUCAAGCAAAGUACUCAUUGAAAUAUUGAAUAACUCUGUAUCUGUAGCUGCAACCACUUUAUUCAAUAAUUGUACAGCAACAGAAACAGAUUUCUCAGCAGUUCAAAGAAACACAAUGGAAACAGAGUCCUCUGCCAUUAACGAAGCUUACAAGCACCUAAAAGCUGUUCCUAAUCCAGACGGUUCACUCACCCGAUCUGAAAUUUUCCCCAGCGUUCCUCCCACACUCCAACUCCAAGCUAACUCACCCUCUGAAACCCAACUCGCUCUCUCCAAAGACAUUCAUCUUCACAACUCAAACAUAACAUUUCUCCGCCUCUUCCGGCCUGCCAACCACGCUGCCAAGCUUCCGGUCAUCAUUGAUUUUCAUGGGAGUGGCUUUGUUGUUUGUAGCGCGGCAUCAGCUCCCUUUCAUGAAAUGUGGACCUACGGUUCUGCUUUUGUCCCUGCUUUGAUCAUAAGCGUUGAAUAUCGUCUAGCGCCAGAGCAUCGUCUUCCAGCUGCGUAUGAUGAUGCAAUGGAGGCCGUUAUGUGGGUACGUGAUCAAGCUAGAGAAGUUAAUGGCCGUGAUCCGUGGAUGGAAGAGUUAGCUGAUUAUUCCAACGUUUAUAUUAUGGGUGCCAGUGCUGGUGGUAAUAUUGCUUACCAUGCAAAUUUAAGUGCUCUGGACGCGGAUAUCAGUCCAGUCCAGAUCAAAGGGAUAAUACUGAAUCAGCCCUUUUUCGGAGGGGUUCAACGAACCCAGUCUGAAGAAAGGUUAAGCACUAAUCCAUCUUUACCACUGAAUGUCAGUGAUCUGAUGUGGCAGCUGGCAUUACCACUUGGAUCUGAUCGCGACCACGAGUAUUCUAACCCAUUAAUUAAAUGUAAUCCGAAGAUCAAACAGUUAACAAGGUGUUUGAUAAGAGGUUUUGAAGGGGAUCCGCUAGUGGAUAGAAUAAAGGGGUUGGUGAAGAUGUUAGAGGCCAGUGGGGUGCACGUGGUGGCCAAGAUCCAAGACGGAGGUUUUCAUGGUGCAGAUGUAUUUGAUGAAAGCAAGAUGAAGGAAUUGUUUUCACAGAUCAAGGAUUUCAUCUACGCUUAAACAAAGGAAGUUUAAUAUGUUAUGUUAUUGAUAUUUUACUUGCUGGAAAGUAGCCCAUUAAUAAAAAGCUUAGAACAUUGUCAGACAAUGCAAAUAGGAUGUUAACAAUACCUCUAUCUUCCCAAAUCUUCUUUAACAUUGCAGCCAUGCGUAUAAAUUGCCAAAGAUGUUGUAUAAGUAUGUAAAAUUUCGAGCACUGUUAAACUGUAUUUUUUUGAAGCACAGAGAUACAGAACAUGCAUAUAAGAGAGGCAGAUUACACCUGCAAUAUAUAUGAAAUCCUGGCUGAUCAGUGUUGCACGGUCAUUGAGCAUUCCUUCCAAUGGGAAGAUACUGCAGCUACAACAGAUGAGCUCCCUGCACAUAUUUAUACAGAUCCUUAAUUGUCAUCAUUCCAAGUAAGCAUUAAAAGCAUCCGAACAAUAUCAGACUUAGUCCUCUAUUAUAGUUAAGAAUACCAUAAUAGCAUAGGACAUGUUAUACAAGCAUAGACGACGUACUCUAUUAACAAAAAUUGAGUUUUAUCUAGAAAAACAAUACUUUCUCACACAGGUUGGAUUACAUCAAUCUUGAUCUCAGAAAGAACGUCUUUCCUGGUC